UACGGGGGGAGCAAGCGUUGUUCGGAUUUACUGGGCGUAAAGGGCGCGUAGGCGGCCACCGCAAGUCGGUUGUGAAAUCUCUGGGCUUAACCCAGAAAGGUCAACCGAUACUGCGGGGCUAGAGUGCAGAAGGGGCAACUGGAAUUCUCGGUGUAGCGGUGAAAUGCGUAGAUAUCGAGAGGAACACCUGCGGCGAAGGCAGCACUCUGGGCCGGUACUGACGCUGAGGAGCGAAAGCAUGGGGAGCGAACAGG
rnacentral:rRNA from 1 species